UACGGAGGGUGCGAGCGUUGUCCGGAAUCACUGGGCGUAAAGGGCGCGUAGGCGGCCGUGUAAGUCACUUGUGAAAUCCCGGGGCUCAACUCCGGGGCUGCAGGUGAGACUGCAUGGCUAGAGCUCGGUAGAGGCAAGUGGAAUUCCCGGUGUAGCGGUGGAAUGCGUAGAUAUCGGGAAGAACACCGGUGGCGAAGGCGGCUUGCUGGGCCGUAGCUGACGCUGAGGCGCGAAAGCGUGGAGAGCAACAGGAUU
rnacentral:rRNA from 1 species